GGGAAGCCGGUGAGAAUCCGGCGCGGUCGCGCCACUGUAUCCGACGAUGCAUGCCUGCUACACGCAUCCCGGAGCCAGACC
rnacentral:ncRNA from 2 species